CCUGUUGAGCGCUCAUGCCCGGUGUGAUUUUAACAAUUGACUCAAAAAGCGUUGACAAGAAAAUAAGUAAAACUGUUAUUGAAUGUGAUUGGUUGAUAAAAUCAACGUACUAUAGGCUACAUUUUGUCUGCGAUAUCAUCUCGGUGGAAGCGGACAUUAAAUGAAGUGAUUUCACACAAUUAAUUUAACAUUUAACAACGUGCUGAAAUGAUUUUGGAGCAGUGAUAUGUUUGACAAAUGUAAGCUAAUGGUCACAUAGAAUACAAGACCGCAGAAUCACAUUAUGAUUAAAGCAGAAACGGCUCGACUUGAACCAGCAGACGGAAGAUAUGGACGAACAACAAAAAGAAGUUAUGGAGGUCCCAACAACUGAACCUAUGGAAGUAGAAGAAUCGCUUACAGCCGAAACCCGAUACGAUGUGCCAGUUCCGGUCAUGGAGUCCUCCAUCUCAGACGAU